rnacentral:rRNA from 1 species
GACGAACGCUGGCGGCGUGCCUAAUACAUGCAAGUAGAACGCUGAAGGCGGAGCUUGCUUCUCUGGAUGAGUUGCGAAUGGGUGAGUAACGCGUAGGUAACCUGCCUGGUAGCGGGGGAUAACUAUUGGACACGAUAGCUAAUACCGCAUAACAGUAGAUAUCGCAUGAUAUCUACUUGAAAGGUUCAAUUGCAUCACUACCAGAUGGCCCUGCGUUGUAUUAGCUAGUUGGUGAGGUAACGGCUCACCAAGGCGACGAUAGAUAGCCGACCUGACAGGGUGAGCGGCCACACUGGGACUGGGAGAGGGUCCAGACCACUGCGGGAGGCAGCAGUAGGGAAUCUUCGGGAAUGGAAGGAAGGCUGACCGAGCAACGCUGCGUGAGUGAAGAAGGUUGUCGGGUCGUAAAGCUCGGUUGUAAGAGAGGAACGAGUGUGAGAGUUGAAAGUUCACACUGUGACGGUAUCUGAACAGAAAGGGACGGCUAACUACGUG